GACGAACGCUGGCGGCGUGCUUAACACAUGCAAGUCGAACGGAAAGGCCCUGCUUUUGUGGGGUGCUCGAGUGGCGAACGGGUGAGUAACACGUGAGUAACCUGCCCUUGACUUUGGGAUAACUUCAGGAAACUGGGGCUAAUACCGGAUAGGAGCUCCUGCUGCAUGGUGGGGGUUGGAAAGUUUCGGCGGUUGGGGAUGGACUCGCGGCUUAUCCGCUUGUUGGUGGGGUAGUGGCUUACCAAGGUUUUGACGGGUAGCCGGCCUGGGAGGGUGACCGGCCACAUUGGGACUGAGAUACGGCCCAGUCUCCUACGGGAGGCAGCAGUGGGGAGUAUUGCACAAUGGGGGGAAGCCUGAUGCGACGACGCCGCGUGCGUGAUAACGGCCUUCGGGUUGUAAACCACUGUCGCCGGUGACGAAGCGUGAGUGACGGUAAUGGGUAAAGAAGCACCGGCUAACUACGUG
rnacentral:rRNA from 1 species